CAAAAGUUUGGUCCUGGCUUUACUAUCAGUUUUAACCUAACUUACACAUGCAAGUAUCCGCGCCCCUGUGAGGACACCCUAUGUUCCCCCUGGGAACGAGGAGUUGGUAUCAGGCACUCUACCCGAGCCCACGACACCUUGCUAACGCCACACCCCCAAGGGGCCCCAGCAGUGAUAAACAUUAAGCAAUGAGCGAAAGCUUGACUUAGUUAAGGUUUAGAGGGCCGGUAAAACUCGUGCCAGCAACCGCGGUUAUACGAGAGGCCCGAGUUGAUAUGCAUCGGCGUAAAGGGUGGUUAUGAUUUUAAUCAAAUAAAGUUAAACGCCUUCAAGGUUGUGCAACACACCCGAAGGAAAGGAAACUCAACUACGAAAGUGACUUUACAAAAUCUGAUCCCACGAAAGCUAGGACACAAACUGGGAUUAGAUACCCCACUAUGCCUGGCCGUAAACCACGGUAAUGAAUAACCCACAUAACCCGCCCGGGAACUACAGGCGCAAGCUUGAAACCCAAAGGACUUGGCGGUGCUUAAGAUCCACCUAGAGGAGCCUGUUCUGGAACCGAUGACCCCCGUUCAACCUCACCCUUUCUUGUCACCACCGCCUAUAUACCGCCGUCGUCAGCUUACCCUGUGAAGGCCUUGCAGUAAGCGAAAUUGGCAUACCCCAAAACGUCAGGUCGAGGUGUAGCGAAUGAAAGGGGAAGAAAUGGGCUACAUUCCCUGACGAAGUGCAUACGAACGACACACUGAAACGUGUUUCCGAAGGAGGAUUUAGCAGUAAGUACAAAAUAGAGCGUUGUGCUGAAGCCGGCCCUAAAGCGCGCACACACCGCCCGUCACUCUCCCCAAAGCGACUUAUUAAGUAACUAAACCACUACCGAAAGAAAGGGGAGGCAAGUCGUAACAUGGUAAGUGUACCGGAAGGUGCACUUGGUCAAC
rnacentral:ncRNA from 1 species